CGGCGAGUGAAGCGGCAACAGCUCAAAUUUGAAAUCUGGCGCAAGCCCGAAUUGUAAUUUGUAGAGGAUGCUUCGAGGCAGCGGCCGGUCUAAGUUCCUUGGAACAGGACGUCAUAGAGGGUGAGAAUCCCGUACGUGACUGGUUGGCACCUCACACGUAGCUCCUUCGACGAGUCGAGUUGUUUGGGAAUGCAGCUCUAAAUGGGAGGUAAAUUCCUUCUAAAGCUAAAUACCGGCCAGAGACCGAUAGCGCACAAGUAGAGUGAUCGAAAGAUGAAAAGCACUUUGGAAAGAGAGUUAAAAAGCACGUGAAAUUGUUGAAAGGGAAGCGCUUGCAACCAGACUUGACGGCGGCGUUCAACCGGUCUUCUGACCGGCCCACUCGUCGCCGGCAGGCCAGCAUCGUCUUGGGCCGCCGGAGAAAGGCGUGAGGAAUGUGGCUCCUCCGGGAGUGUUAUAGCCUCGCGCACAAUACGGCGCGCCUGGGGCGAGGUCCGCGCUUCGGCUAGGAUGCUGGCGUAAUGGUCGUAAGCGGCCCGUCUUGAAACACGGACCAAGGAGUGGACCAUCUGUGCGAGUGUUCGGGCGUCAAACCCCUACGCGUAAUGAAAGUGAACGGAGGCGGGAACCUUUAGGUGCACCGUCGACCGAUCCUGAUGUCUUCGGAUGGAUUUGAGUAAGAGCAUAGCUGGUCCGACCCGAAAGAUGGUGAACUAUGCCUGAAUAGGGUGAAGCCAGAGGAAACUCUGGUGGAGGCUCGCAGCGGUUCUGACGUGCAAAUCGAUCGUCAAAUUUGGGUAUAGGGGCGAAAGACUAAUCGAACC
rnacentral:rRNA from 1 species